rnacentral:rRNA from 1 species
AGGAUAAACGCUGGCGGCGUGCCUUACACAUGCAAGUCGAACGGAUCAUAGUCUUCGGACUAUGGUGAGUGGCGAAAGGGUGAGUAACGCGUGGGUGACCUGCCCGGAAGUGGGGGAUAACUCCUCGAAAGAGGGGCUAAUACCGCAUACGAUCGAAAGAUUCGUUUUUCGAUGAAAGGUUUUUCGCUUUCGGAGGGGCCUGCGUUCGAUUAGCUAGUUGGUGGGGUAAUGGCCUACCAAGGCGAUGAUCGAUAGCUGGUCUGAGAGGACGGCCAGCCACACUGGGACUGAGAAACGGCCCAGACUCCUACGGGAGGCAGCAGUGAGGAAUUUUGCGCAAUGGGCGAAAGCCUGACGCAGCAACGCCGCGUGGGGGAUGAAGGCUCUCGGGUUGUAAACCCCUUUUCUUGGGGAAGAUGAUGACGGUACCCAAGGAAUAAGUCACGGCAAACUACGUGCCAGCAGCCGC